rnacentral:tRNA from 1 species
UCCGGGGUGGCGCAGCGGUAGCGCAGGGGACUGUUAAUCCCUUGGUCGUGGGUUCGAAUCCCACCCCCGGAGCCA